rnacentral:lncRNA from 1 species
GGCUUUUCAUCUGUCCUCAGAAAUAGAGAUGACUCAGGUCAAGUAGUGGUUAGCAGGGCUGAUACUCAGCUAGGAUGAUCUAGGUUUCCAUACUCCAGUGACUUUGCAGUAAAGGCAGACAUAGAAUGAAAGAGAAAUGCCCAUAUGUUCUCUCAUCUCUUCUGUGGUAUCCUGAUACCAUUUUGAGUUGAGUCUUUGUUGUUAGCAACCAAUGUUUACUUCAUUCUGUAAGUAGACCACCUUUUUAGGUGGCCAACUUGGAAACCUUUCAUUAUUCACUCUGAUUCUCUGGAAUUAACAUCAACUUUUUUUUCAUACUGCUAAUUAUGGCUUUGGACUAUAGUGAAAACUGCUUAAGAGAAGAUGACUCUCCCUUGCCACAGGACAGCAAGACUACUCCCCAGGAUUUUGUUUCCUGAAAACUGCUUUGCUCCACAUUAGAAAUCGCCAGCAAUCUUCCACCAGUAGUAAAAAGGCCAUCAUAAUAUUUCACAGGCUACUGCAGAGUCCAGACCCAAUACAGAAGAACGCACUAAGUGAGGAACAUGUAUUCAGGACAAAAUUUGAGCUUGUAAGGAAUGUAUACUUCUCAGUGUGAGAUUUUGAUGCAAAAAUACAUCUGGAAAUAGAGUAAUGCUAAUCUUAGUGUCCUGAGCAAUCAAAAGACAAGACAGAAAGGAUAUAAUCUAACUGGAGAGCAACUUACUUUAAUUCAUCUCAGCAAUAAUUCAUCCAGAAUAGUGUUGUGACCGUAUCGGGAAUCAUUUCAAUCUGGGUGAAGACUAUCACUCCCCAUGCACCCCUUCCCAUCAGGAC